ACGUAGGGUGCGAGCGUUAAUCGGAAUUACUGGGCGUAAAGCGUGCGCAGGCGGUUAUAUAAGUCAGAUGUGAAAUCCCCGGGCUCAACCUGGGACCUGCAUUUGAGACUGUAUAGCUAGAGUACGGUAGAGGGGGAUGGAAUUCCGCGUGUAGCAGUGAAAUGCGUAGAUAUGCGGAGGAACACCGAUGGCGAAGGCAAUCCCCUGGACCUGUACUGACGCUCAUGCACGAAAGCGUGGGGAGCAAACAGGAUUAGAUACCCUGGUAGUCCACGCCCUAAACGAUGUCAACUGGUUGUUGGGUCUUCACUGACUCAGUAACGAAGCUAACGCGUGAAGUUGACCGCCUGGGGAGUACGGCCGCAAGGUUG
rnacentral:rRNA from 1 species